rnacentral:rRNA from 1 species
ACUCAAAUGAAUUGACGGGGGCCCGCACAAGCAGCGGAGCGUGUGGUUUAAUUCGAUGCUACGCGAAAAACCUUACCAAGAUUUGACAUGUUUAUGACAGCUCUGGAAACAGAGUCUCCCUUCGGGGCAUUUUCACAGGUGCUGCAUGGCUGUCGUCAGCUCGUGCCGUGAGGUGUUUGGUUAAGUCCUGCAACGAGCGCAACCCUUAUUGCUAGUUGAAUUAUCUAGCGAGACUGCCUCGUAAAACGAGGAGGAAGGUGGGGAUGACGUCAAGUCAGCAUGGCCCUUAUAUCUUGGGCUACACACACGCUACAAUGGGUAGUACAAUUGGUUGCAAUGGAGCGAUCCGGAGCUAAUCCGUAAAACUACCCCCAGUUCAGAUUACAGGCUGAAACUCGCCUGUAUGAAGUCGGAGUUGCUAGUAACCGUAGGUCAGCAUACUACGGUGAAUACGUUCUCGGGCCUUGUACACACCGCCCGU